GCACUAGUAGCUCAGUUUCAGAGCGCCGGUCUUGUAAACCGGACGUCGGAGGUUAAAAACCCCCCUACUGCU
rnacentral:tRNA from 1 species